CCUACGGGUGGCAGCAGUGGGGGAUAUUGCACAAUGGGCGCAAGCCUGACGCAGCGACGCCGCGUGAAGGAAGAAGGCCCUCGGGUCGUAAAGCUCUGUUAUCAGGGAAGAAAAUGAUGGCAGUUGAAGAUGAAGCAGCCGCCAAUUACGUGCCAGCAGCAGCCGCAAUACGUAGGGGGCAAGCGUUGUCCGGAUUUACUGGGUGUAAAGGGGGGGGAGACGGGGAUGCAAGACAGAUGGGAAAGCCAGGGGCGCAACCACGGGACUGCUCUUGAAACUGGUUGGCUGGAGUGCAGGAGAGGCAGGCGGAAUUCCUGGUGUAGCGGUGAAAUGCGUAGAUAUUAGGAGGAACACCGGUGGCGAAGGCGGUCUGCUGGACUGCAACUGACGCUGAGGCGCGAAAGCGUGGGGAGCAAACAGGAUUAGAUACCCCUGUAGUC
rnacentral:rRNA from 1 species